rnacentral:rRNA from 1 species
CCCUAUGAUUAUUUAAAUGGCUGCAGUAUUCUGACUGUGCAAAGGUAGCAUAAUAAUUAGUCUUUUAAUUGAAGGCUUGUAUGAAUGGAUAAAUGGAUAUUUAUUUUAUUUUUAUAAAUUUUAUAACUUGAUUUUUAUGUAAAAAAGCUUAAUUGGUUUUUUGGGACGAUAAGACCCUAUAGAACUUUAUUAAUUUUUUGUUUUUAAUCUUUUUGGCUAAUUAUUUUAUUAAAAGUUUUAAUUAAUUUUGUUGGGGUGAUAAAUAAAUUUUACUUUAUUUUUUAAAUUCAUUAUUUGUGUUUAUUUUGAUCCAUAUUAUGAUUAUAAGAUUAAGUUACCUUAGGGAUAACAGCGUAAUUUUAAUGGGGAGUUCAUAUUUAUAUUAAAGUUUGCGACCUCGAUGUUGAAUUAAGAUAAGAUUGAGGGGUAG